UGUAUGGCAGCUAGCUCAUUGUAAGAGAUGCCAUCUUUACUUCAACAUUUAUUUUAGGUCAUUUUUAAGCUCUAACAUGUUUGACAAAGCCCCCUGAAUAAAGCAAUCCAUCGACUAUUGUGAGAACGAAUUAGACUGAAAAAAAAAGGGACUCCAGAAAGGGCAAAAAAAAUCCAAAAUCAUUCUACAAAAAGCUGAUACUUUUGUAUGUAACUGCUAACAUAUACAGUACCUUAAUCACAGUGACCUCGUGUUCUAGUGCUUUACCCUAAGGCACAGUAACACAUACUUCCACAGCCCGAUAACAGUAGCCAAAAAACCUAUGCAAAGUAUUCAAAACUAAUAGAAUAUUGCAAAGUAAGAAUAACUCUGAUCAUUCACAACAGGUUGAUCCACUAUA